UACGAAGGGAGCUAGCGUUGUUCGGAAUCACUGGGCGUAAAGCGCACGUAGGCGGACGUGUCAGUCAGGGGUGAAAUCCCGGAGCUCAACUUCGGAACUGCCUUUGAUACAGCACGUCUUGAGUCCGGAAGAGGUGGGUGGAAUUCCUAGUGUAGAGGUGAAAUUCGUAGAUAUUAGGAAGAACACCGUGGCGAAGGCGGCCCACUGGUCCGGUACUGACGCUGAGGUGCGAAAGCGUGGGGAGCAAACAGG
rnacentral:rRNA from 1 species